rnacentral:lncRNA from 1 species
GCCUGGCGUGGAGGGUUUGCUGCUGUCUGGCUCUCCCCUGUUCCCCAGCUUCAGGUCUCAUCUCUUCCCACCGGGCUCCCUGUUUCAUUCACACGCAAACCGUUUAGUUCUCACAAUGCUGGGAAGGUGCUUGCAUCCACGUGUCUGUGCUUAUUAUUCCUUCUGUCCAGGACACCUUCCGUUCCCCACCAUAGACAUUCUCUGCCCCCAGGUCAUCUCAGAUCCCAGGUGAGAGUUUAUGCUCUUAAGGAAGGCUUCCCUGACCCCAAGCCUGGGCUAGUGGCCCUCCGAGGCCUUUCCCCUCCCAGGGCCCUCACCACACCUCGUAACUGCUGGCUCCCCUCGCCGUCUCCCCCACAGACCAAGCUCUGUGGAAUCAGAGUCUGUCUGGGUGACUGUUACACGCCCAGAGCUGACAGCUUGAAUAACAAUGAACUUGAGCAUGGGGUUCAUGGAUUUGUGAGGCUGGCUUUGUGUUUUGCUUUCACAGGUCUCCUGCCUCUCUCGCUUGAGAGACCAGACGGCCAGUCUUCUCUCCCUGCCACACCUGAGACGCUCAGCUGGGAGCCCUGCAUUUCUCUGUCGAGGAAAACAGUGAUUCAAACAAGGGCAAAGACUUUGCUCAGCCAGUGGAAAACUUGACAUUGUCUGGUACUUGGAAAAGACCCUCCUUCUGACUCCUCUUGGUCUCGCAUAAAAGGAGGAGAUUCCUCGGAAGGUCGAGGUGCUUCUGUAAUUGGGACUGGUGCCUGGUACCUUCUGGAAAUAGCUUUGCUUCCUGAAGGAUGGGUGUGGGAAAAGAUUAUAGAAAGAUUAGCUGCCUGUGGGCGGGGGAUGCCUUGCGGGAGGGUGUGACUUAGGAUAAAUUAAAAGCAAUUGCAUGUCCAGUGGGUAAAGUGGAUAAGGCCAGAUUCUGAAUCCCUAAGACACACUUAACAUUUUCUUAUCAAAAUUUAUUCUGAGAAUCUUCACUGUACUAAAGUUAUUUCAAGUCAGCUUGUUGGUGCCCUCUUCUAGGAAGCCUUCCCUUAGCCCCCGCCCCUUAUAGUUUUUUAUUUCCUCCCCAUCUUUAUUCAAUAACUAGGGUGACCAGAUGUCCCAAUUUACCCAAACGGGUCCUUGUUUGUACCUGUUGUCCCACAUAAGCAUUAAUAGCACACUCUUUCAUUCUCCUAAGUAUCCUGGUUUGGACAAUAAAUUGAAUGGUCACCUUAUCA